GUGCUCACAUUGGCAGCACAUGUCCUAAAAUUAGAACAAUACAGAGAAGAGUAGCAUGGCCCCUGUGCAAGGAUGACACACAAAUUCAUGAAGCAUUCCAUAUUUUU